ensembl:snRNA U6 U6 spliceosomal RNA
GUGCCUGCUUUGGCAGCACAUACACUAAAAUUGGAACGAUACAGAGAAAAUUAGCAUGGCAGGAUGACACGCAAAUUCGUGAAGCAUUCCUUAUUUUU